UGCUGAUUGUGCAUACAACACUUGCCCAUCGAGAUCAUUUUCAAAAGAUGAUUACUUCAGUGUGCCCAGGCCUGCAGGACAUAAGUACAUGGGCAGGAGUGACAGCAAACCAGAGCAGAUGCUUCAGGCUGCUCUCUUCCACAAGGUGCUUCAAGGACCCAGCCCCCUUCCAUCUUGUGGCUCACUUAUCCCCUGGGACCUCACAGUCUUCUGCCUCCAGCCAGUGGAAGGACAUGAAGAGCAUGGAGGAGACACACUCACUUCUUAAAAGCCUUAGCCUUCUCGCUAUUGCCUAGGAGAUCUCAACUAUAGGCCCACCGCUAACUAACAGGAACUAGGAAAUAACGUUUAUCUGUAUGCCUAGAAACAAAGAGGAACGUGACAACUACAUACAGCCAGUCUCUGCCACAUCAUAGGAGGGUCCCCCCAAAGCCUGUGGUUAGAGGAGAACCCUGUUGAUGUUGAUAAAUAUGUUUGAUAGAUACGUCAUGUGUCAAAGAUCAUUAAGGAAAGUUAAAAGUGACUUAGUAAAAUUAUUGUUGAAAUUUUGAUUGAAGAAAAAUGAAGUGCUUG
rnacentral:lncRNA from 1 species